AGUAGUCACGAGUUUGAUCCGUGGCUCAGAACGAACGCUGGCGGCAUGCCUAACACAUGCAAGUCGAACGAGACCUUCGGGUCUAGUGGCGCACGGGUGCGUAACGCGUGGGAAUCUGCCCCUUGGUUCGGAAUAACAGCGAGAAAUUGCUGCUAAUACCGGAUAAUGACGUAAGUCCAAAGAUUUAUCGCCAAGGGAUGAGCCCGCGUAGGAUUAGCUAGUUGGUGUGGUAAAGGCGCACCAAGGCGACGAUCCUUAGCUGGUCUGAGAGGAUGAUCAGCCACACUGGGACUGAGACACGGCCCAGACUCCUACGGGAGGCAGCAGUGGGAAUAUUGGACAAUGGGCGAAAGCCUGAUCCAGCAAUGCCGCGUGAGUGAUGAAGGUCCUUAGGGUUGUAAAGCUUCUUUACCCGGGAUGAUAAUGACAGUACCGGGAGAAUAAGCUCCGGCUAACUCCGUG
rnacentral:rRNA from 1 species